rnacentral:rRNA from 1 species
CAGGCGUAGCAAUACGUGCUGACGAGCGGCGAACGGGUGAGUAACGCUUCGGAAUCUGCCCAAUGGUGGGGAAUAACCAGCCGAAAGGUUGGCUAAUUCCGCAUGAGCCCUUCGGGGGAAAGCGGGGGAUCGCAAGACCUCGCGCCGAUGGAUGAGCCGAAGUCGGAUUAGCUAGUUGGUAGGGUAACGGCCUACCAAGGCGACGAUCCGUAGCUGGUCUGAGAGGACGACCAGCCACACUGGGACUGAGACACGGCCCAGACUCCUACGGGAGGCAGCAGUGGGGAAUAUUGGACAAUGGGGGAAACCCUGAUCCAGCGACGCCGCGUGUGUGAAGAAGGCCUGCGGG